ensembl:lncRNA
AAAUUAUAUAUAUAUAUAUAUAAAUAUAUAUAUAUAUAUAUAUAUAUAUAUAAUUUCAUAUAUAUUUCAUAUAUAUAUUAUCAUAUAAAGAACUGAGAACUGGGUAUUAUUAUCUGUAAUUGUAUAAUUUGUAAAUAUAAAUAUUGCUGUAUAUUGUAAAUAUUUCUCUAUACUGUAGUUAUGUUAAGCCUUUUUCUAAUACAUAAUAUUAGAUUACAGUUUUUCUCAAUUGCUAAAACACUAAACCCUAUUGUCUGAACCAAAUGCUCAGUUGCCUGAACCCACUGAUUGAAUCAAUCACUCUUUUGGCAAAACCAUAAGCACUUUUCACCUGUUUAGACACAACUUGCCAACACAUUUUCAUUGUGAUGCACCCGUGCUGCAUAAUGGUGAGCACAGGUGACAAAAGUCAAACACAAUUAAAGCACAGAUGAGACCACUUGAACACAACAACUCAAAAUUGAUCACACUUGUGGCUAAUGAUGUGAAGGAACAUAUACAGUAAGCCAGUUCAGAGAGCACUGGUUUGUGAGGCCCUACAAUGGAUAGAAAUCUGAGAGGAAGAGUUCGUGUGAGAGGAGGUCGAGGGGGUCGAGGUGGUCAGCAAAGACAAAGAACAGUAAUAUCUGAUGAAAUCAGAGCUACUGUGAUUGACCAUGUUCUUGUCCAUGGUAUGAGCAUGAGGGAGGCUGGACAAAGGGUACAACCAAACAUCAGUAGAUUCACUGUGUCCACCAUAAUCUGAAGAUUUAGAGAAGAGAACAGAAUUGAAAGACUGCCACAUGGGGGUGGGAGGACAGGUAUGUUCUCCCGACAUCAAGAGACCCUAAUUGUUGAUAUGGUCCGUGAGAACAUUGCCAUUAAACUGAGUGAAAUUCAGCAGAAGAUCAUUGAGGACCAUGUAAAUUUUGAGGGUAUCAACAGUGUCAGCCUCUCUACUGCUGAUCGUGUCCUCAAGCGCAACAGACUGCGCAUGAAACAGCUAUACAGAGUGCCCUUUGAUCGCAACUCAGACAGAGUCAAAGAGCAAAGAUUCCAAGGGUUUUUCAACUGGAUGCAAUGGAAAGACCCCAUGAAUACAUCUACAUGGAUGAAGCUGGGUUUAAUCUCACCAAAAGGAGAAGGAGAGGCCGUAAUGUGAUUGGCCAUCGGGCCAUUGUUGGUGUUCCUGGGCAGCGUGGUGGCAAUGUCACAUUAUGUGCUGCCAUCAGCAAUCAUGGGGUUGUCCACCAUCAUGCCAACCUGGGACCCUACAACACUCACCAGCUCCUCAUUUUCCUCAAUCACAUACGAGAUGCUCUGUAAUCGCAGCAAGAUGAGCAUCCCAUCUAUGUUGUUGUUUGGGACAAUGUGAGUUUUCACAGAGCCCUCCAGGUUAGAGAGUGGUUCAAUAUGAACCAAGGUUUUAUCAAUCUUUGCCUUCCACCGUACUCCCCUUUCCUAAACCCCAUUGAGGAAUUCUUCUCCUCAUGGCGGUGGAAGGUAUAUGGACGCCAACCUUACACCAGGGUAAAUCUCCUGCAAGCCAUGGGACUUGCCUGUGGUGACAUAGGUGUGGAGGCAUGCCAAGCCUGGAUACGGCAUGCCAGGGGUUUUUUCCCCCGUUGCCUGGCCAGACAAAAUGUGGCCUGUGAUGUGGAUGAAGUCCUGUGGCCUGACCCAGUACGGAGACAUGAUGCUGUGGCUGAGUAAUGCACUUAUCUGUAUAUUUUUGUACUUUAUUUUUACAUGGGCUUGCUGUACACAAGUGGCAAACGCAUCAGAUUUCUGUUUUGUCUUUUUGUACAAGUGCUAAAUGCACAGGUUUUUUUUGUUUUGCAACAUGCAUUUAGCCUACAGUGAACAAUAAACAUUUAUUUCUCCAGCUUCAUGUCCUGAGCAUUGUGUUUUCUAUUUUUCUACGUAGUGUUUAGUGACUGUUCAGAAGUGUUUUUAAUUUGUGAAUGUAGCUUGAAAAUUGGGUUUUGUGUUCACAGUUUAGAGAAAAGGAGAGCAGCUUUCAAGAAAUGUGUCUUCAAGAAAUGUGCAAUCGAGAAAAACUGUAAUAUGUAUUUCAUAAUAUAUAUAUAUAUAUAUAUAUAUAUAUAUAUUAUAUUAUAUUUCAUAAUAUUACUGGAUUUACUGUAUUUUUGAUCAACCAAAUGCAGUCUUGGUGAGCAUAAGAGACAUUUUUCAAAAAGAUUAAAAAAAUCUUGAAACUUGUAAACGUUAGUAUAGAUAUUAUAAUAUUAUAUAUAUAUAUAUAUAUAUAUAUAUAUAUCCAUAUAUAUAUAUACAGUAUAUACAUACAUGCAUACAUACAUAUAUAACACACCACAGUAUAUCUUGGCAAUUUGCUUCAAAAAUGUUGAAAAUAAUGUUUUUUUUUUUAUAAAUGCAGCAUUUAAUGCACAAAGUUUUUGUUGUUGUUUUUUUUACAAUGUGGUGGAUCAUGAAAUUAAUUCAAUACAAGAAGUAGACCUGGGACCAAGAUAUAAUGGAUUUUGCUAAGAAAUUAUAAUAUAACAAACUGAGUAUUAUUAUACUAAUCAUGAUUAACUAAUACAUUUCACAACCAAUUUAUUCUCAGUACCAGAUCAAUGCAUUUUACUCUUCUACCACAUAAUGUUAAAACUAACCCCACAAAACCGAAAGGAAAGACAUUUGCAGCCUGACAGUCCCAUUCACAGGAGCAAAAUGACACACUUACUGAAGGCCAAACCUCUCUCUUCUCUCUCUAACACCUUUCUAUGGCUCGUCCGGCAAGCUCAUUCUUACUCCCACCAGGCUGAGAUGGAGGGAGAAGGGAAAAUAUAACACAGCAUUUUACAUUAUCAAAAAAAAAAAAAAAAAAAGGAAGCCAGGUCGUGAAUAAUUGAGGAGAUCACUUUCGUCUGAGAGCGGAGUGAGAGUGCUCUCCUUGGCUUGUACCUCUCCACACAGUCUGGAGGCUAAUUCACUGGGGAUCGUAAUUUAUGGACAAUUGAAGCAGCAGAAACAUCUCUUGGAAAGCGACUGGGGGAUCCAUAGCAACAAUCCUUCUGGGGCAUAUUAAUCCCCUGCUUUAUGUAGUGCUAAGUGUACAAUAGUAAUCAGUAGUGGAGCGCAGGCCGCUGAUCAUUAAGGGGAAAAGCUAUAUAAAGAAUUCAUAAUGGGAUUAGCCUGCGGCAGGCGGAGUGCGAGAAAGAGGGAGAGAGAGAGAGAGAGAGUGUGUGUGGACCAAAUUAAAUCACCCAUCAAAUUGCACCAAGGAAUUUUAAUUUACAGGUUAAUGCUGAAUUGUGUAACUAAUCACAGCUAAUAUUUUCAGUGAACCAAUGAAAAAGAAAAAAAAAAUGUGGGCAUUUUACUAGCUUCCACUACAGAAGAGUACACUGCAAUUAGGAAAAGCUUUCAUUCUGCAGGCCGGACUUUCAGAGGCCCAUCAACUGUCCAUCCUCAUGCAUGUUUGCUGGUAAUACAACAGUCAUACAACAAAAAAACAAAAUUUCUUACUAGAAAAAUGUAUUUGCUGAAGAUAUGCCAUUUAGAAGUACCUCUAUAUAAUGCAAAUAUGUAGAACAGAAAUGAAAACUUGUUUCUGUGAAGUUGCUGAUGGUUGCAAGGAUGCUGCUAUUUGGCUGCUGAGGAGUUCUGUAGCUACUGUAGGUGGUUACUUAUAGUCAAAUGGUCAAUGACAUGAUGUUCUGUUAAUAAAAAAAAAAAUGCAUAAGUUGUAUGAUGAAUGUGUUUGUCAUUUCUGAAUUACAAUUUAUUAUUAAAAACGAUGCCUAUACCAUACAAAACUAGAUAAAAUAAAAUAAAAUAAAAUAAAAUGAAAUAAAAUUAAAAAUAAAAAUAAAAAUAAAAAUAAAAAUAAAAUAAAAUAAAAUAAACAUGAAUUAGUUUGGCAUAAUAUUUUAUUGUUUUUGUUGUUGUUAAAAUGAAAAAAAAAAUAUUUUAAUAAAACUACUACUAAACUUUUGCCCAAGUCUUGUGGUGCAACCAAAAUGCAGAAUCGUGCAAGGAAAAUACUUCAUAAAGCACAAAAUUAUAGAAUUGAUUAAUUGAAUAAAAAAUAAAUACAUAAAUGUACAAAUAUAUAAAUUCUCUCUCUCGCUCUCUCGCUUGCUCUCUCUCUCUCUCUCUCUCUCUCUGUCUCUCUCUCUCUGUAUAAAUAAAAUAAAAUAAAAUAAUAAUAAUUAAAAAAAAAGAUUCUUUAAAGGAAACCUGAAGAAGUUUGGCAUAAUAUUUUAUUGUUGUUGUUGUUGUUGUUAAAAAUAAACAAUAUUUUAACAAGACUGCUUCACUGCUUAUUAACAUUUGAAAAACUUUUGCCCGUCAUGCGGUGCAACCAACAUGCAGAAUCAUGCAAGGAAAAAACUCCAUAAAGCAUGAAAUUAUAGAAUUGAUUAAUAAAUAAAUAAAUAUAUAAAUUCUCUCUCUCUCUCUCUCUCUCUAUAUAUAUAUAUAUAUAUACAUACAUACAUACAGGUGCAUCUCAAUAAAUUAGAAUGUCGAGGAAAAGUUCAUUUAUUUCAGUAAUUCAACUCAAAUUGUGAAACUCGUGUAUUAAAUAAAUUCAAUGCACACAGACUGAAGUAGUUUAAGUCUUUGGUUCUUUUAAUUGUGAUGAUUUUGGCUCACAUUUAACAAAAACCCACCAAUUCAAUCUCAACAAAUUAGAAUAUGGUGACAUGCCAAUCAGCUAAUCAACUCAAAACACCUGCAAAGGUUUCCUGAGCCUUCAAAAUGGUCUCUCAGUUUGGUUCACUAGGCUACACAAUCAUGGGGAAGACUGCUGAUCUGACAGUUGUCCAGAAGACUAUCAUUGACACCCUUCACAAGGAGGGUAAGCCACAAACAUUGAUUGCCAAAGAAGCUGGCUGUUCACAGAGUGCUGUAUCCAAGCAUGUUAGCAGAAAGUUGAGUGGAAGGAAAAAGUGUGGAAGAAAAAAGAUGCACAACCA